GCCCUGAUAGUGUAGUCCGGCCUAUCAUGCGACCCUGUCGAGGUCGCGACCCGGGUUCGAAUCCCGGUCAGGGCG
rnacentral:tRNA from 1 species